CUUUAUGGGUACGAGGCUUAAAAUCUAAGAUAAAAAGACAAAAAAACUCUAGCAUCCAUAGAGAAAAUUAGCAGGAUGUAGAAAAAGUAUAUUAUAAAUUAAAUGCAAAAGAAAUUUUUCGUUGAUUCAUGAAUCCAUGUUUAUUGUUUGGUUUUUCAAAAAUCUGUUUCUCUGUUUUCUCGGCAAUCUUAGUAAGGCCUUUAUAUGUUUACAUGGUUAAGAAUCUGUAUUGUAGAUCGGUACUUAAGGUUUGAAGUCAACGUAUGAUUAUGUGUAUGCUAAUUCUAAAUGCAUAUUUGAUGCUCCUAAAGAUAAACAUUAAAAAUUGUUCCUGAGUACA
ensembl:lncRNA novel transcript, sense intronic to GABRB3